GUGGAUAGACAGUAAUACUCAUCAAAUGGUUGUAUUUCUAGCCCUCAGUGACUCAUUCCGGCCAAUGAAACGUGGGUGGUGUCACCUGUGUCACUUGGGAGUGGAGGCAUGAAAAGCCCAAGUGUGACUCUAGUCUUUCUCCUUCCUGCCCCAGAAGCUGUGUGUUCCAGAUGGUGCAGGUGCAAGAGCCUCACUGACCACAGACAUCUGUAGGUUGUGAUGAAUGUGUGUGUGUAUGUGUGUAUGUGUGUGUGUGUGUGUGUGUGUGUUUAUGUGAAUGAGAUUUGGGGAUCACUUGUUCCAGCAGCAGAGCAGAAUCUAUUCUGAUGGAUACAAAGGAGAAAGACUUGAAAAGAAGACAGAAUCUGCCACAUGAAGCAGGCAAAUGUUUUCAGCAAUUACCAAGGCAAAAUUGAUUUUCAAGAAGAAGGAGCUUAUCAUCAACAGACAUGUCACAACAAACGGUGCAAAUCUCUAUCUCUAAGGAUACACAAGACAAACCACAACAUACUAACAUGUGGCUUCUUAUUAAGUCUUGAUCAGAACCAACAGAGGAGAAAGCCUAUUUGUAUGAUUUAUCAUUUGGCAGUUUUUCAAUAAAACCACACAAGAAUAUCACAGGAAGAAAACUUGCAAUUAAAAAAGUACAGCUGCACUGUCUGUCUGACAUAAGGAAGGAUAUGACCUGCAGAAAGAGUUCUUUGGCUUAAAAAAAAAAAAAAAAAGAACAGCCCAAUUAGUCUUUCAUGUUGUGUAAGGAAAGUCCUCUUGUGCUGAUCUAGAAGGAUGCUUUAAGAGACCAGGACAACUCAACUGUUCUGCGCAACAGUUAGAACUGUGAACUGAUAAUUUUGGAUAAUGUCACUCUUUGAUUCUCUUCUCUUUACUUUUUGUGAAUCUACUGUAGGUUUUUACAUUUUUGUUGGCAUGAGGCUCACAUGAAGCAUCUUAUAGAUAUAAUUGGUGGCUCAAAAGGUGAAGAGUCUGCUUGCAAUGCAGGAGACUCAGAUUUGAUCCCUGGGUCGGGAAGAGCCCCUGGAGAAGGAAAUGGAAACCCACUCCAGUAUUCUUGCCUAGAGAAUUCAUGGACAGGGGAGCCUGGUGGGCUACAGUCCAUGGGGUUGAAAAAGUUGGACACGACUGAG
rnacentral:lncRNA from 1 species